GCUUAGGAAUCUGCCUAUUAGUGGGGGACAACAUUCCGAAAGGAAUGCUAAUACCGCAUACGUCCUACGGGAGAAAGCAGGGGAUCUUCGGACCUUGCGCUAAUAGAUGAGCCUAAGUCGGAUUAGCCAGUUGGUGGGGUAAAGGCCCACCAAGGCGACGAUCUGUAGCGGGUCUGAGAGGAUGAUCCGCCACUCUGGGACUGAGACACGGCCCAGACUCCUACGGGAGGCAGCAGUGGGGAAUAUUGGACAAUGGGGGGAACCCUGAUCCAGCCAUGCCGCGUGUGUGAAGAAGGCCUUAUGGUUGUAAAGCACUUUAAGCGAGAAGGAGGCUACUGAGACUAAUACUCUUGGAUAGUGGACGUUACUCGCAGAAUAAGCACCGGCUAACUCUGUGCCAGCAGCCGCGGUAAUACAGAGGGUGCGAGCGUUAAUCGGAUUUACUGGGCGUAAAGCGUGCGUAGGCGGCUUUUUAAGUCGGAUGUGAAAUCCCCGAGCUUAACUUGGGAAUUGCAUUCGAUACUGGGAAGCUAGAGUAUGGGAGAGGAUGGUAGAAUUCCAGGUGUAGCGGUGAAAUGCGUAGAGAUCUGGAGGAAUACCGAUGGCGAAGGCAGCCAUCUGGCCUAAUACUGACGCUGAGGUACGAAAGCAUGGGGAGCAAACAGGAUUAGAUACCCUGGUAGUCCAUGCCGUAAACGAUGUCUACUAGCCGUUGGGGCCUUUGAGGCUUUAGUGGCGCAGCUAACGCGAUAAGUGGACCGCCUGGGGAGUACGGUCGCAAGACU
rnacentral:rRNA from 1 species